rnacentral:tRNA from 2 species
GCUACUGUGGCUCAGUCGGUAGAGCAGCUCACUCGUAAUGAGCAGGUCGUCCGUUCGAAUCGGAUCAGUAGCUCCA